CCCCCCCCCACACACACACACAAACAAAGAGGCGUUAGGCUGAGACGCUGAAAGUCCGGAUUUAAAGUGCAGAAAAUUAAGCCAUUGAAUCUGCCUGUCCAUGACGUACAAAGACACACUAUGAGCCAGUAUGAUCCGACCAGACCUUACAUCAGCAUUGAGGAGUUGUCGGAGAAGAAAGAGGCUGAUUGAAGCGGGACAAAUGACAUGGAUCCAC